rnacentral:rRNA from 1 species
CCUACGGGAGGCAGCAGUGAGGAAUAUUGGUCAAUGGUCGGGAGACUGAACCAGCCAAGUCGCGUGAAGGAUGAAGGUCCAGAGGAUUGUAAACUUCUUUUGUCAGGGAAUAAAGUCUGGCACGCGUCCCUUUAUGAGUGUACUUGAUGAAUAAGCAUCGGCUAACUCCGUGCCAGCAGCCGCGGUAAUACGGAGGAUCCGAGCGUUAUCCGGAUUUAUUGGGUUUAAAGGGUGCGGAGAUGGGUUGUUAAGUCAGUUGUGAAAGGCUGGGGCUCAACCGCAAAACUGCAGUUGAUACUGGCAGUCGCGAGUACAGUUGAGGUAGGCGGAAUUCGUGGUGUAGCGGUGAAAUGCUUAGAUAUCGCGAAGAACUCCGAUUGCGAAGGCAGCUUACUAA